GUUGUUCUUUACCAGCUGAGAUCAAGAAAUCAGCUGACAUUGAAUUUAAAGGGGCAGGAAAUUACAUAUUCCCCUUAUGCAAAAAAGAAUGCUAGCAAAACCAAGAGAGAAAGCGAUAAAUAGGCUAGGUAUAUAAUCGCAAGGGCGGAAAGAGAGAGAGGGAGUAUUAAUAUUAUUUAACAUACAAGUAGGCUAAACACUGACCGAAAAUAUUUUCCUGCAUGAUACAAUACAGUAAUAUAAGUAGAUAAUAUAAGUAGUUAUGUUAGUAAAUAUAACUAAAGUAAUUUGCAAUAACGGGAAAGUAUCUGCCAAAUACUGUACUUUAAUUUUAAUCACACACACAGCAUUAAAUGACAUUCCUUAUGUCACAAAUCAUAUUUCCCAUGUCUGUUUUAUUUCAACAGUGAUAUGAUGGUGGCUUUAAAUACUCAGUCAUGACGUAACCUAAGAAAUACGGUGGAUUGCAAAAUUUUCUAAUGUUUGUAAUAAAUAAAUAUAGAUUAUUAAGAAUAUCAGACAAAAUAUAUAGGCCUACCUGGACAGUUUAUCAAUUAACUAUUAUUUGCUGGAUUCCGUUACCAAGGUUCUUAAGUAUCUCAAGGAUCUAAGUCAACUGCUAACUACUGUGAUUAUUUUUUGUUAAAAAUAGUUAAAAAUGUAACAUUUAUAAAUGGAUUUUUUCACUAUUGCUCCAACAGAUGCCAGUCCACACACACAGGGGAUCCAUUUAUAGUGCCUUUCAAAAAAUGAAAGCUCUGAUGAAAGCAUUUUAUUCGGACAGGCCUUGAUGGCUUCCUAACCAUGAAGGCAGCAUAGCUCAGGAUUCAGUCACAGCCUGGGUGUACGCUGUCAUCGAGAAAGUGACAACCACUGAUCCCUAGAAAAUCAGUGUAAUCUCUCAAGUAAACUUGUUUGUUUUGUGCUAAAUGUUAUUUUGACAGCCAUAGCUAAGGGCUCUUACUCGCUUUAUUCCCGGGACAUAUCUUUUCAACUUGGGACCACCGCUUCUUAGGCACUUCUCUCAUUCAGAACAGUGAAGUCAAUGGAUCCUUACAUCCCAGCUUGACAAGUUAGGAGGAUACAAGCUAAUCCCCUUAAUCUGUCUAUUCUCCCGUGCAGUGCCAAAGGGGGAGAGGGAAAAUGUGCCUUUCAUUAACUGCUGGUGGGAUUCCUUUAGGACAGAUGCUGGAGGUCCUCAUGAAAGGCAUGUAUUCUUCGCUUCCAGCACACAGGUCCUGGGCUUCUCCCACAGCAGAGGCUGAGAGGUGGGGACGCGCCAUUGGCCUGGGCGACCACUCCACCCCUUUACCCUCUGUCAACCCCUUUAUAAUUCAAACACUAAUGCUUUUAAAAAGUGUUUGACAGAUGGAUCAGAUUCCUUUGCUUACUGAGGAUAGAUGUAGCAGAUCAAUGAGACUAAAUGAUGAGGGCAAUGUGAGAUAUGCUGCCGGUUCUUUUCAUUUGUAAGCAGCCAUGCAACCUGUUUUGUUACAUUUAAUAAGAUGAAUGUCU